CAGAUGGAAAUUGCUGCUUUGGAUAGGACUCCCUCUGCUGGUGAUACUCAGUAUUAUUAUUGCGGUAGGCAUUGUUAAGCUCAGACACAAGACUGGACAAACUAAACCUCCUUCUGACCAAUCAAAUACAGGCAUUCCUCUUUCUACCGGCCCAACUCUUGCAGUAGAUGGAGACCCAGUUUAUCACCAGCCUCGCACAGGAGCUCCCCCUGCUGAACAAGACGUGUGUUACUCCUACAUUGACACCAAUCACCUACGGAAAACUUUCCCAGCUCCCUCCCUGAAUCCACAGAAUAAUGAUGUAAUUUAUUCUGUGGUGAUGCCCAACAAAUGAUCAGAUCUCCCACCCAGACCCUGCUUGAAAUUCCCCAACAGCUUUCCAUGCCUGGAUGUAGGAUACGGAACUGAUCCGUAUUGAAACUGUUCCCUACAAAUAUACCUCUUCUGUAUUCUGAUGGCAGAGAAUUUGGGAUUCACAUGGAGAAGGAGAAGUGCAGGAACAUGAGCUGAUUGUUCCUCUAUGUGUCUGUAACCGUUAGAGACUCAGAAUUCAUUCAUUUGGGAUAAUUGUCCAGCAGGUUUAAAAUCGAUUAUGAACAAACGUCUUAUUUUUAUAAACUUACCUGCAAUUAAAUUACACUGAUAUUUGUACAGGGAUUUAUGUUCCACUGAUUUACUCCCUAUUCCUGCUUCUUAUAUGUAUUGCUUAUCUCUUUGUACAGCUAUUAAUAUUUGUUCUUGCAGUUCUCUUUAUGGUACAACCUAUUUUUAAUGUUUAGAACAAAUAAUGUUUUUGCUAU